rnacentral:rRNA from 1 species
AGUGAACGCUGGCGGUAGGCCUAACACAUGCAAGUCGAACGGCAGCACAGUAAGAGCUUGCUCUUACGGGUGGCGAGUGGCGGACGGGUGAGGAAUACAUCGGAAUCUACUUUUUCGUGGGGGAUAACGUAGGGAAAUUUACGCUAAUACCGCAUACGACCUACGGGUGAAAGCAGGGGAUCUUCGGACCUUGCGCGAUUGAAUGAGCGGAUGUCGGAUUAGCUAGUUGGCGGGGUAAAGGCCCACCAAGGCGACGAUCCGUAGCUGGUCUGAGAGGAUGAUCAGCCACACUGGAACUGAGACACGGUCCAGACUCCUACGGGAGGCAGCAGUGGGGAAUAUUGGACAAUGGGCGCAAGCCUGAUCCAGCCAUACCGCGUGGGUGAAGAAGGCCUUCGGGUUGUAAAGCCCUUUUGUUGGGAAAGAAAAGCAGCAGGUUAAUACCCCGCUGUUCUGACGGUACCCAAAGAAUAAGCACCGGCUAACUUCGUA